rnacentral:tRNA from 1 species
GGUCGUAGCUCAGUGGUAGAGCACUCGCCUAGCAUGUGUGAGGCCCUGAGUUCCAUCCUCAGCACCA